rnacentral:rRNA from 1 species
UACGUAGGGGGCGAGCGUUGUCCGGAAUUACUAGGCGUAAAGGGCAGGCAGGCGGAUCCAUAAGUUUAUCGUUUAAGGCGUCGGCUUAACCGGCGUAGGGCGGUAGAUACUGUGGAUCUGGAAUGCGGUUGGGGAAGACAGAAUUCCUGGUGUAGCGGUGGAAUGCGCAGAGAUCAGGAGGAAUACCGAAGGCGAAGGCAGUCUUCCAAGCCGUUAUUGACGCUCAACUGCGAAGGUGUGGGUAUCAAACGGGAUUAGAUACCCGUGUAGUCCCUGAGCGGG